GAGCCAGGGGACAGGAAUGAAGAGGGAGAGGCCAUCCAGGUUCGGGAGGAGGAAACCGGGAGCCGGACAGCUAAGGAAUUGGAAGGAGAAACACCGGAAGGCAAAGGCGUUCGCACAGUUUGGAUUGCAAGUCCUCCAAAGGCCCAAGUAUCAAAGGCUUAGUCCCUGAAUUGGCAUUUGUGGAAGGCAGUGGAUGUUUUAAGAGUCAGCACCAGAGAAGAGACUUCUAGAACUGAAGGUCAACUCCAAAUAUUUAAAAGCAACACACGAUUAUUCUUCCUAUAAAAGACCUGCCUCUAAGAAGGGGCUGGAGAGAUGGCUCAGCAGUAAAGAACACUGGUUGUUCUUGCAGAAGACCCA